rnacentral:rRNA from 1 species
AUGAGCGAACAGGACCCUGUGAAGCUUGACAGCAAGUUUCUGAAUACUUUGUUAAGAGGUGUAGUAACACUGUCGGUCUAUCAGUGCUCCCUGAAAAAUAACGAGGAAGCAUCCAAGGUUGAGUAUAGGGUGUGGAACCCCUUCAGAUCCAAGCUGGCUACUGCUGUGCUCGGUGGUGUGGACAACAUCUGGAUUGCUCCUGGAACACGUGUGAUGUACCUCGGAGCUGCCUUUAGAACAACCGUGUCUCAUGUGUCUGACAUUGUUGGACCGACUGGGUUGGUGUAUGCCGUUGAGUUCUCUCACCGGAGUGGUAGGGAUCUUGUCAACAUGGCCAAGAAGAGGACCAAUGUCAUCCCCAUCACUGAGGAUGCUAGGCACCCGGCAAAGAUGUACGUAGUACUGUCUUCAAACCUUGAUGCAUUCAUUCGUUGUGUGCUUCGCCCCGGCACUGCUAGCCUCGCCGGCUCACUGUGCAUUGGCUCCAUCGGCACGGCUGGUGGUUAUCAAGAUCGCACCGGCACGGACACGCAUGGCAUAUGUUCGAUGAAGUGCACAAAAAAAAAAUGA